UGGGGAAUAUUGGACAAUGGGCGCAAGCCUGAUCCAGCCAUGCCGCGUGAGUGAUGAAGGCCCUAGGGUUGUAAAGCUCUUUCACCGGUGAAGAUAAUGACGGUAACCGGAGAAGAAGCCCCGGCUAACUUCGUGCCAGCAGCCGCGGUAAUACGAAGGGGGCUAGCGUUGUUCGGAUUUACUGGGCGUAAAGCGCACGUAGGCGGACUUUUAAGUCAGGGGUGAAAUCCCGGGGCUCAACCCCGGAACUGCCUUUGAUACUGGAAGUCUUGAGUAUGGUAGAGGUGAGUGGAAUUCCGAGUGUAGAGGUGAAAUUCGUAGAUAUUCGGAGGAACACCAGUGGCGAAGGCGGAUCACUGGACAAUUACUGACGCUGAGGUGCGAAAGCGUGGGGAGGAAACAGG
rnacentral:rRNA from 1 species